UACGGAAGGGGGCUAGCGUUGCUCGGAUUGACUGGGCGUAAAGCGCACGUAGGCGGUUCGUUAAGUCGGAUGUGAAAGCCCUCGGCUCAACUGAGGAAGUGCACCCGAAACUGGCGAGCUUGAGUACGAAAGAGGAUCGCGGAAUUCCCGGUGUAGCGGUGAAAUGCGCAGAUAUCGGGAGGAACACCUAUGGCGGAAGGCAGCUCGCUGGGACGUUACUGACGCUGAGGCGCGAAAGCGUGGGGAGCAAACGGG
rnacentral:rRNA from 1 species